UAUAUAUUUUGCAGGCGAAACAUGAAGAGGAGUUUCGGAAAUCGAUGAUGACUAAGACUUUGCAAGCGGCUGAUAGGGAGGAUGAGUUUAGAUGGCUGGUGUACGUAUGCAAUUUCUGUUCAUUUAUGUACGGUUAUAAUUA